UACGGAGGGUGCAAGCGUUGCUCGGAAUUAUUGGGCGUAAAGGGUAGGUAGGUGGUCUCAUUUGUCUGGGGUGAAAGCCUUGAGCUUAACUCAAGAAGUGCCCCAGAGACGGUGAGACUGGAGUCCUGGAGAGGGUCGUGGAAUUCCCGGUGUAGCGGUGAAAUGCGUAGAUAUCAGGAGGAACACCUGUGGCGAAAGCGGCGCACUGGACCACAACUGACGCUGAGGCGCGAAAGCGUGGGGAGCAAACAGG
rnacentral:rRNA from 1 species